GAUGAACGCUGGCGGCGUGCCUAACACAUGCAAGUCGAGCGAACAGACGAGGAGCUUGCUCCUCUGACGUUAGCGGCGGACGGGUGAGUAACACGUGGAUAACCUACCUAUAAGACUGGGAUAACUUCGGGAAACCGGAGCUAAUACCGGAUAAUAUAUUGAACCGCAUGGUUCAAUAGUGAAAGACGGUUUUGCUGUCACUUAUAGAUGGAUCCGCGCCGCAUUAGCUAGUUGGUAAGGUAACGGCUUACCAAGGCAACGAUGCGUAGCCGACCUGAGAGGGUGAUCGACCAAACGGAAACGGGACCAGGGUCCGACCUCCAAGGGAGGGCGGCAGUGGGGAGUCUUCCGAAAGGGGCGAAGGCCUAACGAGGCAACGCCGCGUGAGUAAGGAGGGUCUUCGGAUCGUAAAACUCUGUUAUUGGGAAGAAACAAAUGUGAAAGUAACAAUGCACGUCUUAACGGUACCAAAUCAGAAAGCCACGGCUAACUAGGU
rnacentral:rRNA from 1 species